rnacentral:miRNA from 2 species
GUGGAGUCCUGGGGAAUGGAGA